CUGCGUGGGGACAGAUGGGAGCUUGCUCCCUGAUGUUAGCGGCGGACGGGUGAGUAACACGUGGGUAACCUGCCUGUAAGACUGGGAUAACUCCGGGAAACCGGGGCUAAUACCGGAUGGUUGUUUGAACCGCAUGGUUCAAACAUAAAAGGUGGCUUCGGCUACCACUUACAGAUGGACCCGCGGCGCAUUAGCUAGUUGGUGAGGUAAUGGCUCACCAAGGCAACGAUGCGUAGCCAACCUGAGAGGGUGAUCGGCCACACUGGGACUGAGACACGGCCCAGACUCCUACGGGAGGCAGCAGUAGGGAAUCUUCCGCAAUGGACGAAAGUCUGACGGAGCAACGCCGCGUGAGUGAUGAAGGUUUUCGGAUCGUAAAGCUCUGUUGUUAGGGAAGAACAAGUACCGUUCGAAUAGGGCGGUACCUUGACGGUACCUAACCAGAAAGCCACGGCUAACUACGUGCCAGCAGCCGCGGUAAUACGUAGGUGGCAAGCGUUGUCCGGAAUUAUUGGGCGUAAAGGGCUCGCAGGCGGUUUCUUAAGUCUGAUGUGAAAGCCCCCGGCUCAACCGGGGAGGGUCAUUGGAAACUGGGGAACUUGAGUGCAGAAGAGGAGAGUGGAAUUCCACGUGUAGCGGUGAAAUGCGUAGAGAUGUGGAGGAACACCAGUGGCGAAGGCGACUCUCUGGUCUGUAACUGACGCUGAGGAGCGAAAGCGUGGGGAGCGAACAGGAUUAGAUACCCUGGUAGUCCACGCCGUAUACGAUGAGUGCUAAGUGGUUAGGGGGGUUUCCGCCCCUUAGUGCUGCAGCUAACGCAUUAAGCACUCCGCCCUGGGGGAGUACGGUCGCAGGACUGGAACUU
rnacentral:rRNA from 1 species